UAGCUGUCCCCAGUCCACCUGGCCGUGCUGCUGCUCCAGUUUCAACUGACCUGAGCCCUAGGACCAUCCCUCAGGACUACCUGGCCUGAUGACUCCUUGCUGUCCCCAGUCCACCUGGCCGUGCUGCUGCUCCAGUUUCAACUGUUCUGCCUGCAGCUAUCACUAUCAACAACGUAGAACCCCGUAGGUCUGUUUCACACGACACUAUCAACAACGUAGAACCCCGUAGGUCCGUUUCACACGACACUAUCAACAACGUAGAACCCCGUAGGUCCGUUUCACACGACACUAUCAACAACGUAGAACCCCGUAGGUCCGUUUCACACGACACUAUCAACAACGUAGAACCCCGUAGGUCCGUUUCACACGACACUAUCAACAACGUAGAACCCCGUAGGUCCGUUUCACACGACACUAUCAACAACGUAGAACCCCGUAGGUCCGUUUCACACGACACUAUCAACAACGUAGAACCCCGUAGGUCCGUUUCACACGACACUAUCAACAACGUAGAACCCCGUAGGUCCGUUUCAUACGACACUAUCAACAACGUAGAACCCCGUAGGUCCGUUUCAUACGACACUAUCAACAACGUAGAACCCCGUAGGUCCGUUUUAUGGACUGUUUUGGGAAGCUUAGCUCAUUAGACACCACACCUAUGGCUAUAGUAGUAGGCUGAACUACACACACCUCAAACACACCUCAAACACACG